rnacentral:rRNA from 1 species
AUACGGAGGAUUCGAGCGUUAUCCGGAAUUAUUGGGUUUAAAGGGUGCGCAGGCGGACCGUUAAGUCAGCGGUGAAAAUCUGGUGCUUAACAUCAGGAGUGCCGUUGAUACUGGCGGACUAGAGUAUGAUUGACGUAAGUGGAAUGUAGCAUGUAGCGGUGAAAUGCAUAGAGAUGCUACAGAACACCGAUAGCGAAGGCAGCUUACGAAGUCACAACUGACGCUCAGGCACGAAAGCGUGGGGAGCGAACAGGAUUAGAUACCCUGGUAGUCCACGCAGUAAACGAUGAUAACUGGCUUUUGGCGAUAGACGGUCAGAGGCUGAGAGAAGUCAAUAAGUUAUCCACCUGGGGAGUACGAUGGCAACAUUGAAACUCAAAGGAAUUGACGGGG